GGCGUAGCUCAGUUGGUAGAGCCCCGGGUUGUGAUCCCGGUGGUCGUGGGUUCAAGUCCCAUCGUC
rnacentral:tRNA from 1 species